rnacentral:tRNA from 1 species
GGGGGGCGGAUAGCUGAAGUGGUAACAGCUGUCCUUGGAGUUGACAUGGCCGUAGGUUCGACUCCUACACCCCUCA